ACACGUGUCAUCAAAGUAGAGUGU
rnacentral:siRNA from 1 species